AGGAGUUGAGGGGCCUUUCAUUUUAAUCAGGCAUUUUGGUGUUUUUAUUUGAGAAUUAGCGGGGUUAUUUAUCAGAGAUUUUGCCUUUUUUUUUUUUUUUUUUUUUUUUAAUCGGGGAAAAGCAGGAUGCCUCGUCAUUAGAGCAGCACGUGGGAGCCAGGGCCUGCAGCGUUAUCAGGCGUGGGGUGGACACGCGGUUCCCGGUGUCAGUCAGAGCCCGGUGGGUGGCGGGCACGCUCCGCAGCAGCACCCGGGCUCCGGCGCUGCCGUGCGCUCUGGACACGAGGGGCAGCUCUGAGCCGGCACGUGUGGGGCCGUCUGCAAGGCUGGCUCGGGGCAGAGCAGACCGGGGUGCUGUGCGCGGCCCUCGGGGCUGUCAGGCAGCCGCUUGCCCAGCGGAGGCAUCAGCGCUGCAGGCGGGAUCCCCCGUGGCCACGGGCGGGGCAGGGCACGGCGGGGCGGGCGAGUGUUCUGUGCGCGGUGCCGCAGCUCGGCCCCUUCCUCCUCGAGCUGGUGCUGGCGGGACGCUGCUCCGCCCCGCUCCGCCCCGCUUGGCCCUGGGCGCGCUGCUCGCCCCGCGCCCCCCGCACGGGGUCGGAGCCGCCGCUCUCCUGGGGCGCCUGGUGCGGCCUCGUUGCGCGGCGGGGCAGCGCGGUGCGGGCGGGCAGGCCCCGGCGCCGGACGGACCCGGGGGAGGGGGUGGAAAUGUGCCUGUGAGCAGUGGCGUGGAGCUGUGAGAGCACCGGGGGGUUUUCAUGCUGCCCGUUUUGUGUGGGGACUUGGGAAACAUUUUUUGUGGCAGUGUGAUGAUCUUUUUGGUGGGAAGUUGGUCAUGUAGUGUGGCGAUUUGGAGGUGUUUUGUGGAAAUGUGUGAAAUAUGGUGGUAUUGGGAGAAUUGUGUGAGGAGUUGGGAUCUGUAUUUGGAAAUUGUGGAAAUGUGAUUGUUUGGGGGGAAUUUGGUCAUUGUGUGCGGUGAUAUAGUGCCUUUUUUGGAAAUACUGCUAUUUUGUGUGGAAACGUGAUGGUUUGGGAACCUUGUAGAAAUGUGUGUGGAAAUCUGUUGAUUUUGUGUGGAAGUGGUGUGGUAAUUUUAGGGUGAUUUGGGAACUGUUUGUGUGACUGGUGUGUUGUGGGACCUGUGGACAAUUGUAUGGGGAUUGGUUCACUGUAUGGAAAUACGGCUGUGUUGUGUGAGGGAAAUGGUCUGGGGAUUUGGAAACCUUUUUUGUGGGCUCGUGUGUGGGCUUGUGGUGGUUUGCGUGUGGAAAACCAGACAUCUUUUGUGGUGAGUUGGAGGUGUUUUUGUGGAAAUAUUUGGAGAUAUUUUGUGACGUUGGGAGAAGUCUGUGGGGAUUUGGGACGUUUAUUUGGGAGUGUGUGGAAAUGUUAAAAUUUUGUGAAAAACUGGUGAUGUGUGGUACGAAAGGACCUUGUUUGUUAGAAAACGUGAUUUUUGUGUGGAAAACUGGUGAUUUAGGAACUCUGUGGAAAUGUGGUGAUUAUGCCAGUGGAAAAUGGUGUGGUAGUUUUAGGGUAAUUUGGGAGCUGUUUGUGCAACUGGUGUUUGUGGGAACUGGAAAUUUGUGUGCAUGGGAAUAUGGUUGUGUUGUGUGGGGGAAAUGGUGUGGGGAUUUGGAAACCUUUUUUGAGGGCAUGUGGCGACUUUUGUGUGGAAAACAGUUUGUUCUGUGUGGUGAUUUGAGAACCCCCUUUUUAUCUGGAAGUGCUGAUUUGUUUGGUGGGAGGCGAGUCAUUUUGUGGUAAUUUGGUGAUGGGUUGGUGGAAAGGUUUGGGGAAACGUGGUAUUGGGAGAAUUCUGUGGGGACUGGGGAGCGUGUCUGUGGAAAUGUGCUUUUUUGUGGAAAAUGUGAUGGUGUGUGGUGAAAAAGGAUUUGUUUUGGAAGUGUGAUUUUUUUGCGUGGAAAACUGGUGAUUUGGCAGGUGUAUGUGAAAAUGUGAGUGGAUAUAUCUGGUGAUUUUGUGUGUGUGGAAAAUGGUCUGGUAAUAUUAGGGUGAUUUAGGAACUGUUUUUGUGGAACUUGUGUGUUGUGGGACUUGUGGAAUAGUUUGUGGUGACUGGGUAAGUGUGGAAAUAUGCUUGUGUUGUGUGAGGGAAAUGGUGGGCAGGGGUUGGAAAAAUUUUUGUGGGCAUGUGUGUGCCUGUGUUUGGACACGUGGUGGUUUCCAUGUUGAAAACUGGUGCUGAUUUGAAAACCUUUUUUUCUGGCAGUGUGGUGGUUUUUUUGUGGGUUUUUUUAGGUGGGAGGUUGGUCAUUUUGUGUGGUGAUAUGGAAGUUUUUUUGUAGAAACGUUUUGGGGAAAUAUGGUGGUAUUGGGAGAGUUCAGUGGUGCUUUGUGAACUUUUUCCUGGAAAUGUUUGGACAUGCGAUUUUUGUUGUGGCAUUUAGGACCUUGUGGUAUAUAGGACAUUUGGAACUAUAGGGGUUUUGCAUGGAAAUAUGGUAAUUUAAUUUUUAGAAAAUGGUGUGGUAACUUUAGGGUGAUUUGGGAACUGUUUUGUGCAACCUUUGGAAAAUUGUGUGGCAAUGGGGUAAGCAUAUGGAAAUAUGGUUAUGUUGUAUGAGGGAAAAUGCAUGGUGAUUUGGAAACCUUUUUUGUAGUAGUGUGUGUAGAAAAGUGUGAUUUUGUGUGUGUGUGUGUGGUCAUUUGAUAAGUCUGAAUGGGAAUGUGCCGGGCUGGCCCAUGGGGGUCAUUUCAUCUACUGCGGUGCGUUUAAUGGUGUGUGUCUUCUCACUCUAAUGAAACGGUCUAACGUGGUUCUUUCCUUUCUUUGCAACUGCUCCUUGUGCACCUGUUCAUGGAAGAAAUGUGUCAGCGAGGAGCUGCAGCGUGAAAGAAGUGGGACUUGGAAAUAUCCAAGGCACCACGGGUAACAGACAAGCCUACAGUUCUGUUAUGGUGAGGACAGUUUUGCAGGUUAAGAGACAACAUUCUAGGUAAGUAGCCAUUCCUUUACUUAUUACCAGGGAUCCUGCUUUUCUCAGAAGAAAAAACAAAUCACAAAAUCUCUGAUUAGCCCCCCAAAUCCACCUUUUUUCAUGAUCAAAAGGAAAUGCCACUAUAUAUAUAUAUAUAGGGAUUGGUUGAACACUGUUUUAUUGAUAUGUUUCCAAUGUUAAAGCCACUUGGAAUCUUACCAGUGCACAACCUCGUGGCCAUUCCUGUACUCGUCACUCCCCACCCAUGGCCCCCUAGCCUGCCAGCGCCCGUCAGUUGCCAAGCACGGUCCCUUGGGCCCUGGCAGUGCCUCCGAGUUCGCACCCACAGCCACAUGCUGCACCCCAGUUGCCAGGGUUACUGGAUCGGGGUCCUGGAUGUGUCAGGCGGCCGCUGCUGUGGCCUGAGGGGGGAGCGGAGCACAGCUCCCGCUUUCAUGGAUGGCACAGCCUGAGUAGAGCCUGUGGGGGGUGCGUGCGUGCUAUCUGCUAUGGGCUUGGGCACUUCACUCUGUUGCCCUUCCCCUGGGGUUUCUGGAGCCCAGUGGGCAGGACCCAGCGUGGAAGUAGAGAGCAGGGAUGGGCAGGGAAGAUUGGUGCUGCCCCUGCAAGUCCCACGCUAUCAUGAUGAGGCACCCUGUGCCUACCCAGCAGCAGCAAGGGGAAGAACUCUGUGCUGCCACCCCCGGUGCUGUCUGGCGGGCAGGGGGCAACUUGCUGUGGUAGUGUAGGGGUCACGGUGGUGGCACUGAGCUUCUGUGCCCUAUAUUGCCCUCCUGUGCCAGCUCUCACCCACUGGGCCACAGAGGCUUUGCAGCGGUCAGCAGGGUUGGAAGACCAAGCCUGCAAUGGGCAACCUGCCCCCAGUGUGCACAAAUCGGAGGCGUGUGCACCCCAUCCCCCCAGGAGUGUGUGCAGUGGCAGGCAGUCAAGCCCUCUGCCCACUCCUCACCUAAGCCCUGUAGCUGUGUAUUGCAGCCCCAGGCCCCAUGCACGGGCACAGCUGGGCAGAAGCCCCAGCCCUGCCCAAGUCCCUCACUCCCUAUUUAUGGGGGCCUCAAUUCACUACCUCCCGCUGCACCUGACUUCCCUGUGGGGACCCAAUCUCCAGGCUGUGGGCAGGUGUGUACAUGCUCACACGCGCAUAGCAACCCUUUGUGACCCCUCCUUCUAUUCCCCCGAGAGCCUUGCAGGAUGAAACUCUGGCAGCCUGCAAGGAGAAACCCACCGGUGGUCAUACUGUUCCCCUUUAAAGGAGAAAAUCUGGAUUUCUCUCAUCUAAAAGAGAAAAUCUGGGGGGGCUGGGUGUCGGCAAAUAAAAACCUAGGAUUCCGGACUAGCCCAGGGAUUGACACGACACCUCGUUCGAUGAGUGACAGAAAGGCUUUAUUUACUACAAGUAUUUAAGAUCAAGUCAAGUGAUUCCAAACCAAAUCAAAGUCCAGUAAUUAGCUAUAAGGUGAUGAUUUCUUGCCAAACAGGCGGUCUGUUUCUCUUCAACUUCUUGAGUAAGUUGGGCGCAUCAGCAAGCCGUGUCAGAGAGGUUUUUCACUCCUGAAACGCACGUGUGCUGCUUUACUGCUUUUUUUAUACCCUUAGUUUAGCAUGUGUAAAUCAAGACAGAGUCCCAAACAGUAAUUGACAGGAAAAACCUGCUGAUUACUGGUGAUCAGAAAUUUCUAAUUUGAACGAGUUACCUUCUUCAGUAACAAGAGGUUAUCCAGUUUGGAACAUAUUGAGAAACUGAUUAACCGCUAGGAAAAACGUACUAAAUCAGGAGGAGACAUCUAUUACAUAUGGAGAACGUCUUUCGGCACAUAAACAUGAGUUAGUCGCAAAAGAAAUAUUUAUCAUACUAAUUAAUCAAGGAUAGACAUUUCAUACGGUUACGCACCAGACAACUAAGAGUCUGCGUGAAAUCAUCCUGAAUAUAGCCAGAUAAGGUGGAAGAAAUGCUUCAUAAUUCCUUCUCAGAUGGCCUAGCCAUGAAAUCGCAUCGUCUUGCAUUAUGCAGUUAGCAUUAUUAUUCUGUAUUUUAACUUUUGUGAGUAGGGCUAAGCUUAGCAUGGUUUUCAGAGUCAUUUGGGGGGGGGGUCCUUAAGGUGACAAACUGGGUUUUACUGCGUUUUUCCUUGGCGAAUGGAAACCCUGGGUCCCUGCCAAUUACCCUUUUUGUAUGUAAAGUGAAGACACAAUGACAUUUCCCAGUGACGCUCCAGUCCCUCUGAGCCGGUCCUCCAAACUGGAUAAAGCAGCUAGAGACAGGGCUAUAAUAUGCACUUUUAUAGAUCACACCUCGAGGCAUAAGAAUAAACCCUUUGUGCUAUGCCCACCUAGUGACUUGUCACACCACAAUACAGUUUGUCAAGUCUACCAGCUGGGGAGAUGCAGGAGGGAGGAAGAGGCUAACAGCAGGUUGUCUCCACUUUGCAAAGGUCUUUGUAGUUUCCCUUUGUUUAAACCUAAUUUUUACGUGGGCUUUUCAAACCGAUAGUCUGACGGGUGUCACGCAGACUUGUUUUGCUGAAACUUUGGGAAUGAGACUGAACCCAUUUUUCUGUGCACUUGGGACAUGUCGAUGGCUGGGGCCUGUGUCCCUGGGAAAAUUCCAACUCUGGAAGGGAGGAACACUGCUCCUCUCUUUCCUUGCCUGCCUGGGAAUGCUCCUUGCCUUGUGUUUGUUAAACUCUGCCAUUUAGACCUAUUUUAACUUGUAACAGGGUCACAAAACCAAACGCCAGUUGCUGCUCAUAGCCGCUGUUUCCCACCAUUCCAGAAAGCAGCUACUCGCUCUUGGUCUUGUCUGGUAUUAAAGUCUUGAGAAACAGAUUCUUAUUCCACUCUCUUUGGCCGUUCCUUGGGAUGUAAGUGUAGGCUCAUGGCUUAUUCAUUGUAUGCCAGCUUAAGUACGUGUCAUUUGUAAUUUAGGCUUCUGGUAGGUCCGUCGUCUGCAAUAGUCAGUGUGGUCUGUCAGGCCCUGACCAUAUCCUCAGCCUACACAGGGGGGAAUCUGCCUGCAGCCUUCCUUCCCCUUUCCCAUCACCACCUUCUUAACCUCCCUGCCUCUUUACUUGUUCCUCAUUUCAGGAGCUGUUGUGUCCCAGUGCUUCUGUUCCCUGGUGCUUCCCCUGGGUACCCACCCUGUCUCCUAUAUGUGCUGGAGGACUGGUUUAAGGAGAUGCACGGAGGUGCCCGCAGAAGUCCUGUGUGGUCAUGGGUUUACAAUGAAGACUUGCAGCUGUGUGUUGCCAUUCAUGGGGUGUGCCAUGUGUGAGCUGCAGCUGUCAGAGGAAUGCUUUGGAGGAAUGUCGCUCAUGAAGGGAAGCAAAAUUGUUCUGCUCCCCCCCACUGAGCUUUACAGGGUGAUACCUGUGAGACAUCACAUCCCCUGUGCAAACCUGAGCCAUCUGAGCAGGGGAAGUGGCAUGGCAGAGGGGCCAAGAUACCUGGGUGACAGCCCAGAGUGCGAGUUGAAGGCUGCAAUGGAAGCGCUCAGUGUGGCCUGUCAGAUUCCAACAAAAUCUGUCAAGAAUUGCAUGUACCUUAUCACAAGGACACGAAAAAGAAAAGCAGGGCCCAUGGUAGAGUCUUACUGCAUUGGUCAGUGAUUGGGGGUGAGGAGGCUACAUGUCCUUCCUUCACUGCUUGUCUGUUGACUGUCAUUGUUAAAGGGCCAGGGUUGGGGGCAGGGGCAUUCUUGGCUUCUUGGCCAAGUGCCUGGGGGAAGAGGUAGGAGGGAGGGAAGGUUCAGGGGCUCAGAGGUCAAAGUUGGGUGAGGGUUCAGCAACCCCAGACUGCCCAGGUCUCCCCCUGCCUCCCCCAGGGCUGGGCUAGCCGCUGCUGGCAGUGACCCUGCCUGGAGCAGUUGGCAGGCCCUUGUAAGCAGCCUGCACUGCUUGGGAAAUGUGGGCUGUGACACCUUGGUUUUCUGGACUGUGGUAAGAAAGCAAACAGCCUUGUAGUACAGGCUUCAAUUGUGGGACUGCACCCUGUUUUUGAGACACCCCCCCCCCCCCCCAGGAGCUUAUUUCUUGUAUGUCCAUGCAGGAUAGUUUGGGGGAGGGGGGAGGGAAUGGAAGGAAGAGGCAUGGAUGAGACCUGCAUCUUUCAUUCAGCAAAUUUCAGUAAGUAAUGUUAGUACUACAAACAUUAUGCCUGUUCUGAUACUUACUAUUAUUUGUUUUCCCAUGUACUUUGCCAACAAAGAAUCUGGCAGGUCCCAGUAAGGAAAGGAAGUUUCCAAACAGGUGACAGAAGAAAGAAACAAAAUGAUUUAAGUAUGCAGGUGAUGUUGUUGUUGUGAAGGUCCAGGAACCAUGGGGGAGGCAAGAAAUUUUGUGAUGUCUUGUGUGGCACUAACAGCAUGGUUUGGACGGACAGAAGCAAGGUUUUAGGCAUCACAGUCCCUUUUUUCAGUCCUUCCUUCCCAGCAUCCUGAGGAAAGGUACUGUCAUACCCCAAAGGUUGCCUGUGUCUAUGCCCAUCUUACAGUUGGCCUGGUAAAACAGGGGUCAAAAAACCUAUGGCCUGUGGUCUGGAUCCAACCUGUGAAGAAAACUGGUUCUAACCUGUAGCAGUUCAACCAAGGAGCAGCACACUCCAAUCGUGACAGCAGCAGGGACAUCCCCAGCGGCCUGUUGCCACUGCGUUGUUUGUUCUUUGUGCUGCAGCAGAAGCAGCCUCCCCAGGGUCUCGGCCCCUGCCUUUUUCUUUUGAGUCCUUUCACAGCCUGUGGAGAUUGCUGGGGAGCAACCUGUCACGUCAGCAACGGUGCACAAUGGCAAAAGAACGGCCCUUCCCUGCAAGGAAAGAUUGCACUUAACUCCAAGUGAGCAGAGCAGAGCAUCGACACAGAGUGAGAUGCUCAUCUGUAGGGUAGUCUGGCCUUGCCGUUGCUAGGAGUGCCCAAGUAGGGAGGCGUUGGAAUAAUUUCUUAGCUUUUUCCCUAGAUUGCUCUAAGAUGAGAGGGGAGCGCUAAGCACACUUGGGUUCGUGCAUGCUCCCCAUCAUUUUCAGAAGCGGACGGCAGGAGAAAGUUUGUGGGCAGCGAUAGCAGCACAAGGCCACGCAACCAGGCUGGGGAACGUGGGGCUCUUUCCUAAACCAGGAGUGGCAGGAGUUGCACAGCUUUGCCAGGUGAAUGUUGUGCCUGAGUCCUAUAUGUUGCUUACCUUGGCUCCUGCUGCCGUCUCCCUCCCUCCCUCCACGAGCACAGGUACAGCCUUUCUUAAGCCCCUCUCACUGCUACCUGGCCAACUUUUAAAGCAGUGGUUCUUGCCCUUUUUCACUCUAGAACCCCCACUAUCCUGGUCCCUGACUCAGAGAGUCCCUCCCUCCCUCCUUCCUGUUCCUUUACCCUGCCCCCAGGCAGCCUUGCAGCGUUUCUCUCUACCUCGCUGUGACCCUUUAAACUCUUGCAGAGGAACCUCUCUGCUCCCUUUGGCUGGUGGUGUAGACAACAGGGAGGAAAGUGGGGAGCCUCUUCCUGUCCUCCCCUGUCCUGGAGGCACAGUGACCAGAGCUAGGGUAUAAAGAUGGACGUGGGCCCUGUACAGCAAGCGGAGGCUGCUUCAGCACUGGACCCGAGGACGAGGAUUGAGCUGAGCACAGUUCUUGUUGACUGGGCAAAUGGGGAAGGUUGUGCCUGCUGGGAAGGGUCCGGUGGACACCUCGGCCUGUUCUCCACGCUUUUUCUGUGGGCGGAGCGGGUGGGUUGUCCUGCAGGCAGUCGGGUCGAGGACAGGCUCCGGCAUGGCACUGCUGAAAGCACUUUGGCAAAGUUGAGGCUCAGCAAGGGCUCCCCAUACUGCUGCUUGGUUCCUUAGUGUCACAGUACCGUUUUGGUUUCUGAGUUCCCCCAUUUCGUGUUCUUACAAACAGCUCGCUACCGCCGGGCCUCGGCCAAGGAGACUGCGGCCUGUCUGCGCUCAGAACCUCGCAGGCUGACACGGGCACAGAAAUAACGCAGCUACGGCUCCCUUGAUGAUUACCCUUGAAAUGCAAAAGGCAGGUCCCACUACAGUGGCCACCCAGGCAGCUAAGAGGCAGGAGACCAAGCUGCAGCCUGAGCUUGCCUAUCAUACCUCAAAGGUCUCCCACGCAGUAGUGCAGCACCACGCACGUUCUCCCCCGCGGGGUGGGAGGUGGUGGGUCUGACUGGCAGCAGGUCUGAAAUUGGUGCAGUUUCUCUCCCCUUUGCCUUCCAGCUCGCCCCGUCCUGCAGACACCCGAAGCAAAGGUCUGGGGUGGGAGCCAGGUGCCAACACCUGGGGGUUGGGUUUAAAGCUGUGUCCCGGGUAGUGGGGCCUGGGCCAGGUGCUCCUUCUUGGUUGAGUGGGUCAGGUGCCUCACCCGCAGAGGUUUUGGGGGCUAUGGCAUUAGCGCCAAGCCGGGGUCAGGACGGGUGCUGGAAACGAGUGCUUGUCGCACACGGCCACAGAACAAGACUGUGCGCAGCUCUGCACAACAAGGCGGCACCUGCUGCGGUGAUGCCUGAUGCCCGCUAGCGCUUCCUCACAGGUAGGACCUGCCUGGGGCCCGCGCAGUCCGGCAGCUGCGGGACCGCGUACCUGCCCGAGGCUGGGGUGUGCCGCGAGUGGCAGCGGCCCCUGCCUCGUGCUGAGGACGGCGCUGGCGGGUGGGGAGGGCAGAGUCUGUAGUCCUGGUCCCUCCGCCCGACCCGGGGGCAGAGCUAGACCCAGCGCGCACUGCCCUGCGGCCGGGCCAGGGUGCGCGGGGCGGGCGGCAGGAGCGGGGGGCGGUUGGGUCCCAGGAGCUCUUCCUGGGGGCCUGGGCGGGAUCCGCCGGGCCACCCUCGGGUCCCGGCGCGACAGCGGGAAGCCGAGGUGUGGCUCGUGCCGCCGGGGCGGGGCAGCGCUGGGCGGGCGGGGCCCGGCGGCCCGUGCGGAGCCGUCUCCCUGCCCGCCCGAGGCUCUCGUCCCGUGAAAAGCCGAGCGCGGGCCGGCGCGGCACGUGACCGGAAGGGGCGCUGGAGGCGGGAGUAGUGUGGGCUGCGCCGCGCCGCGCCGGGGCUGGGGAAGGAGCCGUGCUGCGGGGAGCGCCGGGCUCCUGGCGCGGGGCCGCCUGUGCGGGCUGGGCGUGCCCGGUCCCCCGCGACGGCGCUGCCCCGUGUCCCUGCGCUUUGUCCGUCCCCGUUUUCGUGUUGUUAAACCGCCGCUUUUUCUGCACUGCUCCCAGCCCGGCGGGCGCGGGCGCGCUGCUCCGUGGGGUGCUGUCCCUCGGGGGCCUGGGGCCCUGCUUUGCUGGGGCCGGGGGUGUUUUGGGAGCCGUUGGCUGAGACCUGCCCUCGGUCCGAGUCCUGGCUUGGGAGUGCUGUUAAUUGCCCGCGUUAAUUGCCUCGAGUCGGGGCGGGUCUUUCCGCCGCGGUGCCUGGUCUCCGAGGAGAAGGGGGCCGCGGGGCCUGGGUGCGAGGAGUGUCCCCUGUGCCGGCUGGGCCUUCCCCUGGGCUCCGGCCCCUGCCUGCUCUGGGCCUUGGCCCGAGGUGCCCUAGCCUCACCUGGCCUGGCCUGCCUGGGGCCCGGGGGGCGGGGGCGGAAGGCUUGACCCUGCGGGUGCCGGGAGCCAGCUGCGGCCGGCUGGUCUCGGGGCCUGGCAGAAAUGCGACUCGUGCGAGGUGGGGGUGAGCGGUCCCGCUGUGGGGCGGCGUCCUGAGCUCUGCGCUCGCAGGCCGCCGUUUUGCAGCAGGGGCCUGCGGUGCCCGGGGCUGCUUCUGCCUGUGGCCCCGGAGAGCGUCUGCCCUUGUGUGUCAGCCGCUCCUAAACUCCUUUGUGCUGGGUUGGGUUAACUGCUGUGUUUAAUGCUAGUUUACUAGCUGCAGCCCCCAAAACACUAGGAAUUACAUUUUUAUUCCAAGAGUAUUUAUUGAAGUCCAGGAUUUUUAGGUACCCUUUGAGUGCGUACUUUAACACAGCAUCAGCAAUUAUUUCAGGUGCAGGGCCACUCACCAAGUGGUGGCACGUGUUGCAGCCCUGCCCCUGGCUCGGUGCCCUGCCCCUUGGUCGCCGUCCUGUGGCUGCGAGUCCUAUCCCGUAACCCUGACCUUUGCCACUGGAAGUCCCUCUCUUUGCCCCCUGGAAACACUCCCUUCAGGAAGGGGUUUUGUCAUCUCAGAAGCAGAAAAAUACCGAGUUAUAUUCUAAAAAGAGAACAUCUACAACAACGACUAAUUUUAUUAAAAAAUUUAAAAAAGCAGUAAUUUGAUUUCAAGAGUCACUCUUGUGCUCCCUGGGCACUCUUGUGCUCCCUGGGCUUCUCUGAGCACAGCCAGGUUUCCAGAAACCGGUGCACCAUUGGAUCCAGCAGGUGCAGCCUGUGAGCUGGGGCUGCAGCCAUGCAGCUAGCACCCUGCCUGGGCAGCCUUGAGGGAAACGGCUGCUGCGGAGGGAAGCACCUGCCCCCUGCGACUCGGGGGCUGUGCAAUGCAUAGCAGCUCGUAUUGGCAGGCUCUGCUGAGGGCUGUGGGGGGGGAAGCAGUGAGGGGCCUGAUUUCUCUUCUUCCCCCUCCCCCAGCCUGCGUGCAUCUGUGGGCAGGCUCCAGAGUACUGUGGUUGUUUCGUUAAGCAUUGUGAUUAGCUGCCGAGAGAACCCAUCGGAGCGCUCUGGACAGACAAUAAGCCUCUGGAAGGGGAAAACUUAUAGAGGGGAUGACUGGUUCCUAUGGAGGGGGUGCGGGGUGGAAUAGAGCUGCUUCUGUAACACUUUGGGUGGGAGUUUUUCUGCCUUCUGUGCUGUGAAGACUGGAAGUGGAGUUGCUUGUAGGUUUUUUUUGGUUGUGGGGGGGUUGGUUGGCCUUUCUGCUAAAGUUUCUAGGGUCUGAGAAGCAAGUGUAAUGAAGAGACCUAGAGCUGAUGACUCGUGGAGGGUAGAGGAGGGAGCAAGAGGCUGGGUGUGUGCUUCUGGAUUCCCUGUGGUGAGGCCUCUGCCCCUGUGUCCUUAGCUGCCUUGGAGCGGGACAUGGUCACAGCCCGGGGGAGGUGCAAGCUUCCUUGGAUCGGUGUGGGGUUGUCUUUGAUUUGUCAGUUUGUUGCAAGGCACAGGGAUGGCUUCUGGGAGCUUGGAGACACUGGGUGGUGGGGCCUGGAUGUGUGUGUAUGCUGUUUGGGAGGGAUUUCAGUCUGGUCUUGAUUGACCCUGUGGGCUUCAUGUCUUGUUUUGUCUUUCAGGAUCCUGGCUGUUGUGGAGAGACUUUGGGUUGGAGAUGGAUGCAAAGAAGUGGAGGCAUGCCAUGGUGAUGGAGGAUAGAGCAGGAGGAGUAGCGUGAUGGAAGGUGGACUUACCUCAAGCGGGGGUGGUGUUUUGAGUGGGGGUGUCUGGGUGGGCUGGGAAGUCCCUGCUCUGGGUUGGUGUCCUGAGCUGCACGCUCCCAGGGCAGGGCUACUCAAGCGGAGGGCCAUGGCACCUAGGAGUGCCUCUGAGAUGAGUGGUGUAUGGCUGGGCUGGCUUGGCCCAGAGUUGCUCUGAGUCUGUGCAAAGAUCUCCAGGUUGCGGUGGGACAGAGGAUUGGGUCUCUGCCUGGCUGUACCUGUUGCCACAUGCCUCCUUUCAGUGCUGGGAAUUGCAUUUAUGUCUCAUCUCUCUGGGUGUGUCACUGGUGUCUGUCUUUGUACUUCUGUUCUUAAAAAUCACUGCAGCACUUGUUACUUUGUUCUUCCCAGGACUGAAAGGGGGGUUGUGUUUGCAUUUAAAUUGAUCCCCUCACUUGGGAGGGGUGUAGCUGCAGCCCCCUGCGGUUUGUUAGUAGGGCCAGUCCAAGCUGCUGUUGUACCCCUGGUUGGGAGGGAGGGGGUGCUGUCCCGUUGGUGCUGUGAGACCUGCGCAUAGUGCCGCAAGUGUUAAUUGCUGUUGUUCAUUUUUGGUGGUGUGGACAUGUUUGGCAAGAUGAUCAAAGUCUGGUCCUGAGUGGAGAAGAGCUGAGGAAGAGGUGAAGAGCCCUGGAGCUGGUAUGGCGUGGAAGGAGUUGGAGACGGCCCAAAGCCAUGCUCAUGUGAUCACCUGGAGCGAGGUAUUUGCUUCUUGCGGGUUGCAGCUCUGGAUGGAGAGAUCCUGCAGCUGCAGGUGCCUGCAUCGUAUCUGGGAAAGGGAUGGCAAGCAUGAGGACUGACGGCGCACAAGGACUGAAAGCGCAGCUUGAUGCCAGGUGUGGGUCCUGAUGUUCCUGGAAGGAAAGGGUGAGGGCACAGGGACCGGAGCAGAGCAGCGGUAACGGAACCAGAGGAUCAGGAUGCUAGAAGGAUACGUCUGGGAUUGCGAUCGGCGACGGGGAGAGGCUAGAAGCGAAAGCUCCGUAGGUUCGGUUAUUAAGCCUCUAUUGCCUGCUUAGGGGAGGCGCGUCGGGUCCGCAGCUCUUGGAGAUCUUCACACAGAGUCUCUCUCUCUUCCUCCGUCCUCUGACGGGCGGAAGCUACCCAAGCCUUUUGUACGGCUAGCAAGCCAAUAGCUAGCUGCCACGUGUGCCUACAUUGGAACUGGCCAAUAAUAUGGCGCGAAUCCAAAUACAAAUGGCGGGAACUCCUUUGCAACGUGCAUCGCUAGUAUGCAAAAGAAAUGCACCCUGCAAAGAAGCUGUAAUUUGGCGGGAAAUCCCCCGUUACACCAGAGUUCUCUCCCGCAGCAGAGAACUCCAUCAUGCAAAGAAAGCUACAAUCGGCGGGAAAAUAAUUUAGCGCUGCUGAAGCACGCGCAAACAAAAACCACAACUUUGGCUUGUGACAUCUGGGUGUGAUGGGAAGGCUCAGGCAGGGUGUUGUGGAGAUCAAAGUUUCCCUCCUCUCUUGUGGUGGCAUGCUCUGGGCAGGGGUCCCUCAUCUGGCUCUACAUGAGGCUUGAGUAUCUGUGCCUGUCCCUGCUACUAGCCAUUUUGGCUCUCUGAGCUGGGUUUGGUCCAACAUUUGAGUGCUGGUGUCUGGCCCUGUCCAGGGUUCGCUGGAACAAGAUGGUGCGUGUCUGCCUAGCUGCUUGUCUUGCCACAGGCUCUCCCACUGGUGCCGGGAACGGCUUGUCCUGUGUCUGUAUGCGUUUCUGUUUGUCUUGUUGUCUUCCAUGUCACUGCAGUCUUUCUCUGCUCUUCCCAGAACUUGCAGGAGACCUGUGUUUGCACAUCUAAAUUGCUUCCCUUGCUUGCAAGGGGAGAGCCCGGAGAGGGCUGUGCCUGCACCCUUGCCGCUACGGGCGGGGGGGAGGGGGGUAAAAAAAAAAAAAAAAUGUUACCUGUGGGGUCUUGGCAGGGAGGGUCUGCUGCCCCCAGUGCCGUGAGGCCUCUGAGUUGUUAACAGUGGCAAGUGUCUUCCUGUGUUUUGUCUGUGUCCAGAGGAGCCACCUUGCCAAGGCUUCAGGCACUGAAGACGAGGUGAAGAGCCGCAGAGAUGAUGGAGGAGGAAAUGGGCAGCUGUCUCGUGACUUCCCAGUUUGUGUGGUGUGAGGCCUCUGCCCCUGUGACGUCACCUGUGUGGAGCCUGCGGUCAUGCUGUGUGUACGGUGGUUACUGUGAUACAUCACGUUUUGAGUGCCUGUGACUAUCCAGCUCCGGGAGGCCGCAGACAAGCCUUUGAGAGCUCGGGUAAAGCCUGUAUGCAUCUUGUGGGGGAAGAGGGACGCAGGGAGUUCUGUGCCAUGCUGGUGGAAGAGGAAGGAAAACAAUGCUUAAAGAGGCGAGCCGAGGUAGAGGUAAAGCGACCUAGAGCCACAACGUUUUGGGAGGUGGAAGACACGGGACUGCGCUCCGAUGGUGACUUCUGGGUCACUUGGAAGGAAGGCCUCUGUCCUUUUGCUGGAGUUGUGUGCAUGAGCAGAGCGUGCAGAGGUGCCUGUGUACCCUGUGCAGAGAGGAAGGCAAUCGGGGACAAGGCUGGGCUGGAGAAGGAGCAGAAUUAUGCCAGUUUGGGAUCCUGCCCUGCGUGGAGGGAAAUGAAUGCCGGUUCAGGGAGUGGAGCCAAGCAGUGCCCAUGGAGGCGGAAGCAGGAGGAAUUGAAUGCCGUGAGGUGUGUUGGCGCUGCAUGGGCAGAUCCAGUAGUUGGGUCCUGGCGUGUGUGGAAGGAAAGGGUGAGGACACUGGAGCAGAGCAGUGGUAAUGGAGCCAGAGGAUCAGGAUGCUAGAAGGAGCCAUCUUCUGAAGGCUUGAGGGCUGUGAAGCAGACACUGUGAAGAUGAAGUGAAGAGUCCCAGAGAUGGUGCAUGAGGAAAUGGGCAGCCUUGUCAUGACUUCCUGACUUGCGUGAUGUGAGGCCUCUUCUCCUGUGGCAUGACCUGGCUGGACUCCUGGGGAGGUUUUGUGUGUGUAGCUUCGCAGGCGGUGCAUCUCUGCUCCCACUUCCUGCUGUGAGGACACCUGGAUAAGGAGCAGCAUGAUUGUGGCUGGGUGUGCGGCCUCAAUGUUGUGGGGGAGAGGAAUAGAAGUGAGUUUUCUACGGUGGUGGUAGAAGAUGGAGGAACUGGAUCCCGAAAGUGUGAGCAGAGAAGAGCUGAGGGGAAGAGGUGAAGAGACCUAGAGCCAGUGCUACGUAGAAGCAGGUGGUCAUGCAGCCAUGCUCACUUCUGGGUCACCUAGAGGGAGGCCUCUGCCCGUUUGGUGGAGCUGUGUGCAUGGGCAGAGCCUGCAGUGGGAGGUCCCUACGUCCUCUGUGUGGAGAGGACGGCAAGGAGGGAUGAGAGUGCACUGGAGGAGGAGUGUGAUGCCAGGUCCCAUGAGUGCAGUCUCUUGGGGUGAGGCCCUUCUCACAGAUGGAUGGGUGCACCCUGGCCAGGCACGUCUUGGAGAGCUGUGAGCUGGGGCCUGGGGUCCUGACCUGUGCAGAGGGAAAUGACUGCCGGUUGAAGGAGUGAAGCUGAGCAGCGCCCACGGAGGAUGAAGCAGGAGGAACUCAAUGCUGCACGGUGUGUCGGUGCUGGAUGGGCAGGUCUGGCAUUUGGUUUCUGUUUUUCUCCAGCCCAGUCCUGGGUGUUGGGCAUUGACUAGGUAGGGUAGACGGCUGGAGAUCGAUCUGGAUGUUUCUGACUGGGUCCUGGUCCUUGGAGAGAAGUUUGAGCAGAGAAGGGUGGAAGAUGGAGGCAGAGAGGAUGGUGCAAGCAGGGGGUCUUUUUACCAAGACUUUUGGGGCAGGGAGGAGAAGUGGAGAUUGGGCAGAAGAAGAGAAGACAUCUUGAAGUCAUGAACCAUGGAGCUGCCUGUCAUUGGUGCUUGUGCUGUAGCUCUGUCGUGAGGAGCAGGGCAGGGGCAGUGACAUGCUGAGGGCUGGAGAAGGAGCACCACAAAGAUGGCUGUGAGGCCUUGGUCAGGCGUGAAGUAUGUGAGCCAGGAGAGUCGUACAGCACACACGCAGGAUGGAGGGCAACAAUUCGAGUGGGGGGCUUCUUUGGCCAGGGCUGCUGUGAAAUCUGGCGUAGGGCUGGGCCAGCCGGUCCGAGUCUGUCGGACUCCACGUAUAGGAGAAACGACGGAUGUCUAAGGAGCUUGUGGGGCGUUUGAUCCGGGCUCAUCCCUGGCACUUGGGGUGCAGGCCUGGCCCCUCUCUGGGGUGUGUUGAGGGUGAGCUCUGGGUUUGCGUUCAUGCCCCUGACUUGCUGUUGCUACAGGCCUCCCUUCAGUCUUGGGAACAGCGCUAUGUCCUGUGUGCCUGGGGGUGUCACUGGUGUCUCUCUCUUUCUACCUCUUUGCAAAAUGUCUGCAGCACUUGUUCUUUUUCUGCUCUUGUCAGGACUGGAGGGAAGGCUGUGGUGGGUUUUUUCCUGCCACCUAAAAUGGUUUCCACCUCGGGGAGGGGUCUGACUUCACCCUGUGUGCCCUGUUUAGCCUGAGUGGGGGUAUCGCCUUUGAAUUCUCGGGGGUUGCUUUUGCCCUCAGGGCUGUGAGUCCCGUGUGCUGCGUGACUUUUCCUAAUUUAUUUUUGUUUUGGUGACAUGUACGGGAGUCAUCUGGCUGAGGCUCGAGGCUCCUAAGUGGGCAUCGGGAAGAAGAGGUGGAGAUAUAGCGCCUGUGACCUGAGGAAGCUGGUGAAAGAAACGGAUGUCGGCGCAUUCGCUUUGCGGUUGCCCGGUGUGAGACUUCUGCCCGUGUGGUGGCCCUGGGCUGGAAGCCUUGCUGCGUGAAGCCUGCGAUAGAUGUUGGAUUGCUGCUCCCUGUGUGGUGAGAAGGAUUGGCUGCAAUGACUGGAGGCCUGGAAAAGGAGCCGUGUGGCCAGGGUCCUGGCCUGCAUGGAGGGAAGUAGGUGAGAGGACUGCAUCGUGGAAGAGCCGUGGGACAGUGUUGGAUGACAGACACGGACCGGCCGGAUGUUGCCCGCUACGUUGGAAUGUCCCUUCUGUAUUGGGAUUCUGCGUGGGGGUGUGGGGUGGGUUUGGGAGUGUCCUCAGCUUUAUGAUCCUGGAGCCAGGGGUUUGCAAGUAGUAUGUUUGGGUCAGUUUGUCUGUGCUGUGGGUGGACCUAGGGUGACCAGAGGUGAAAUCCAUUCCUGUGACCCUGUAGUUGGACCAGCACCCAGACACUUGCAGGAACCGCUGGGCAAGCAGGCCCAGAGCUUUCAACUGUUGAGCACGGCAAUGCUGGAGCCAGCUAGCAUGGAAGCAGAAGGGCCGGCCGGGCGCGGGGCCCGGGCUGCCUCUGUGGCUUCUGUGCUAGUGAGGUUGAGAAUUGCAGUGCUGGGGGGUUGGAGGUUUUGGACCUGCUUGUGCAGGGUUCUUGUUGGUGUUGGGGUGCUGGGUCAGAGCAAUGGGUUUUAUUCUGCCUGACUGCCAUGUUUACCGUGUCGUACAGGGCUGGGAGCCUGUCGUAGCAGUGUGUGUUUGGCUGGGGCGGGGUGGUUGUCUGGUUUGGUCCCUGAGCAGUGUGGUGAGCAUGUUUGUUAUUACCCUGAAAUAAAAUAGUUUUCUGAUAGCCUACUGUUAGGCUAACAAUAAUUUAGAUUAUUAAGAAGUAUUAGCUUUGCAGUUGAAUACAAGGCAUGACCUGUGGCCUAGCAAUGCUGCUGACCACAAGGCAGAAUGAUAGCUAAGCCUUUGCUUAUGUUAAGUAAUCAUUUUAACUGUGUUGACUAUUUUCUGAGUAAAAUGCAGCAAGUGAAUCUGUCUGUGUGCUGUAAACCAGAUACAGCAAGGAACAAGGUAAGAGGAAGAAGGCAUUGUUCUAAGUACAGUGAUCGUGUCCUUAAGAAGUAUCUAGUACUGUGCAAGUUUUUGCUAAGAUAUCAUAAUGUUACUGUUACUUAGGUUAGAAAAUAUUGUUGGAAAAUCAAUGUGACCUUUGUAUGACCUUUGGUCAAUGCUGGCUGAUGCAACCUUGCAGUAAGAUUGCCAUGAUCUGUCAAUAUAGGCGGGCAGACAAGGUGAUUGGGCCCAACCGUGCGGGGUGAGCAAAGCCAAGCCAUCUUGGUGAUUUCCUCUGAGUUUUGCGCAUGCGUUAUGAAGGAGCUUAUGUAACCAGAGUUUAUAAAUCUAUGUGUUGAGUUGCAGUCGGGGGUCUCUCUGCCCUUACGAGGACAGGGGACCUUUGGUCGAAUAAACUGAAAAGACCACACCCUCGUCUCCUGCUUAUUGGAGUCUCAGCUGGGAAACGAGCCCUGUUCAGGUUAAGAGAGUCUGCAGGUGUUCCCUUACCAGAUUGGGAGCCUGGUCAGACAAUUUCUCUCACAAUUUGGCGAGCCAGCCAGGAGCACCCUUCUCGUCGCGUCGCCGCUGCCGCCUAAACCCAACCUCCGGCCGGCCGUAACAGAGGUGAGUUCACCACGGGAGUCUUGGGUUAAGGCUGCAGACACGGCGGGACGAUAAGGUGACUCCUUCAAUUUUACUGGCACGGUGUGGUCUUUUAUAUGUUGUGUAUGUCUUGUCUAACGUGUUAUAGGCCAGUCUGUUCUCCGGAUCCUCAAACCUGGGCACACAGGCAAUUUUAGUCAAUUGCCCGUUCGACUCUUUUGAGCCGAUAAAUCUGUGUGGCGCAUUUUAUGUCUCCAUUCGCGCACCGAGGAACCGUCUCUGUUUCUGACCUUUUAACUGGAUAAGUCCUCCAACCUGUUUGAGGCAUCCUAGAAGCCUGCCUUUCCAGGUUGGUUAGGUCUAGGGCAGCCAAGAAAGCAGGGUUUUUGGGGAGCUUAAUAGUAUAUCAGGUCAUCUGGGAAAGGGAUGUCCGCCAAGAAUGACGAUGGGACAGAAACAGUCAAUUCUGGCUAGUAGUCCUCUUGGAGAAUUGUUAAGCAACUGGAAUAAGUUAUCUGGACAUGGCCAAUUGAGUAAGAAGCGCGCUAUAGCCUUAUGUACUAGUGUCUGGCCCGGCUACACUUAUAAAAACCCUGAACUUCAGUGGCCAGUGUUGGGAUCCCUCAGUGUAGAUAAAUGAAGGUACCUCAGGGGGUUCCUAGAGGAACCCCAUCCCCGACUAAUGGAUUAUUGGUAUCUCUGGUGUGAUUUGAUGGAUUUAAUUCUGCAGAGGAAAAAAAAAACUGAUUACUUCUGGCCGCUCAACAACGUCUGUGGUGUCUUCUCCCCCUUAUUCUCCCGCUAUGCCACCAUUGGUGACUAGGGGACCAGCCAUAAUAAACCCGGCCGCUUAGGCCGUGGCCCUUCCGGCACCUUUUACCCCUCCAUCAGGCUCCUCUCCUCCCGUAACAGGAGUGUCAGGGUCUGUACCUGCCUCCUCGGAGCCUACUUUCAGUCCCAUAGCAGGACAUACUAGGUAGCGUUUGAAUCAGGUCAUACACCUGCUCUUGUACACAUGUAAUGACAGCUGCACACCCCCAUCACACAUGCAGUCACGCCUGCUCAGAGUCCCUUACAGACAUGCGCCUGCACAGAACCCCAAAACACACUGCGACAUACACAUGUGCCCCAACAGGUGUCCGUGACACACUUGCACACAAAUGUGCAUCCUCGCACACAUGCACGUGCAGUCUCACACACGUACCCAGAGCCCAGGUGCUUGUGACACGUGCAUGCUCACACACACAUGGAACUCAGGUGUCUGACACAUGCAUAUGUGCUCUCGCGGACACAGUCUAGCACACAUGUACAGAACCCAAGUGUCUGUGGCACACAGGCAAGUAUCCUGACAUAUUCACAUUUACACACACACAACCCCACAUGGGUAGAUAUGAAUCAACCUGCCCCCAAUGAUGUGUGCAAUUAUUGUAAACAAUUGGGGCAUUGGAGACGAGAACGCCCAAACUGCCCUAAGGGACUUCCCCCUUAUGGAGGAAGAAAGGGGGGAACCCAGGGAAACAACCGGGCUGCCAGCACCGAUCCUACAGAUCCCUGGGUCCAGAGUUUGCAACAAGAUAUAGAUGACUCCCAGUGAAAUAAGGGGGCGGCUCGUCCACACGAUGUAUUUAGGGGAACCUUCCUCUUUUGAGUAUACCUGCGCCCCUUCAUCCCCUUAUGUACCACUUCAAAUAGCAGGAAAAUUUAUAAAUGUCUUAUAGAUAGAGGAGCAGAUCUGUCCUCACUGGGAGAAUCUCCAGAAAGGGCGGGAAUUGCAGUCUCAGGAUCUGAAAAGAUUACGAGAGUAAUUGGAAAAUCUAUGCAAGUGCCCCGUGGCACUGAAACACAAGUGCAGAUAGGACCCUUGACCACCAUUCAUGCUUUCCUAUUAGCUGAAGGAACUGUAGUGCACCUCCUUGGAAGAAAUCUACUCUAUAAACUACAGACCAGAAACCCUUCACCCUACUUACUCAUGAGAAUCAAGGCGUUGCUUCAGGUGUCUUAACUCAGCCAUGGGGAUUUUCUAAUCGUCCCAUAGCAUACUAUUCUGCUCAGUUAAAUCCUGUAGCAAGGGCAGCAAUUCUCUGUCUUAGAGCAGUCGCUGCUGCCGCUGUGCUAGUUCAAAAGGCUCAAGAUUUAGUGUUAGGACACUCUCUUGUGCUUGAAAUAUCUCAUUCAGUGGAAGCUCUCCUACUACAGCACAACCUCUGCCAGCAGGGACCAACGCCCAGGCCGCUGAGCUAGCGGCACUCUGACGAGCAUGCAAAUUGGCCACAGCCUCCAGGGUCACUAUCUAUACUGACUCUAAAUAUGCUUUUAGUAUCUGUCAUGCGCUAGGACGGUCCUGGUGACAAAGAGGUUUUAUCACGUCCUCUGAUGCUGUAAUCAGCAAUGCCACGGAAGUCCAAGAACUGCUAGAGGCUGUCGUGUUACCAGGUGAUAUAGCGGUAAUGCACGGUCCCAGACAUUCCAGAGAAGAUACUGACAUCGCUAAAGGAAAGCAUCUCGCAGAUGCUGUAGCUAGAGCCGCUGCACUACAAACUAAAGGAAGUCUCCUUGCAUCUCAAGUUGUUCUUCCACCCUUGUCUGUUAUUUAUGACAAAGUCCCAGCGGAUGAAGUAUCUAUAUGGGUCCAAAAGUGGGAAGCUGCGCAAGGAAAGGAUGCAGUGUGACGUGUGCCAGACGGUAGACCAAUUGCUCCUCGCACCUUGCUCCGAAGUCUGGCUCAGGAUGUCCACAGAUGCUGUCAGUCGGGAAAAGGAGAAAUAGCAGAACAGGUCCUCUCCACCUGGUUUGCUCCAGGUAUACAUCUAGAAGCUGCCCGAAUAACUCUGCAAUGUUCAGAGUGCAGAGCCUUCAACAAAUACAGAGGAGACACAAAAUUACAAGGGGCCCGACCGUGGGCCUAUUUACCCUUUGAAAAACGACAUGGAUUUGCUCAAAGCUGUAAAUUUCAAGCACUGCCUAGUAGUGGUAGAUCAAGUAACAGGAUGGCCAGAAGCUUUCCCCACUCGAGAAGCGGAUUCAGUAGCAGUAGCCAAACCCGUAUUAAAAGAAAUCAUCCCACAUUUCGGCAUUCCAGGAGGAAUAAACUCUGACCGGGGAACUCACUUUACAGAAACUGUUUUAAAAGAAGUUUACAGAGUUUUUGGAAUAAUAACAUACUUCCACGCACCCUAUCGCCCUCCGUCCUCGGGUCAGGUAGAGAGUAUGAAUCGGAGUAUAAAAUCCCUUUUAGGAAAGAUCUGCUCCUAAACCAAAUUGAAAUGGUCAGAUGCCUUACCAAGGGUGCUGUUUGCUAUAAGAACAAAACCCAAAUGGCCUCUCAACCUUGUCCCCCUACGAGUUGUUGUUUGGUCACGCUCCUGUUAUAUAAGAGAUGGGAAAAUCUGCAUGUUAGCUUACUCGGCGGAGAUGAAGCUUUAAUUAGUUAUGUUUUAUCCUUACAGGAGUCUCUCUAGUGUUUACGCAGGUCAGCUGCUUUGGUUCAGCCGGUACCCCUGGACUGUAACCUUCACUCCUAUCAAUCGGGACGCUGAGUUUGGGUAAAACAACAUCGGCGAAAAACCGCCUCAGCCCAAGUCUGGGCAGGUCCGUACCAAGUUCUUCUUACUAUACACGCUGCUGUGAAAAUCGCCGAGAAAGAGGGCCGGAUUCAUCGCAGUCGCCUCAAACCUGGUAUCGGCAAGUAAUGACCGGUCAGCUGCUGUUCCGCCUUUAUGGCUAGAAAGAAUUGGAGAAUCGUGGACCGUUCAGACUCCUUAAUAGAAAUGAUACGUGUAUUAAGCUUGCUUUGUAUUAUCUUUCUUGUUAUACUUUGUGUUUGUAUUUCACUGUGGAUGCAGGGAAGGUUAUAAGUUAAUAAUGGCAUUUCACCGGGCUAUCCUAACAGGAUUAUUGCUCUUGAUGCAUAAAACACCAUGGCUAUUUAUGGGAAAGCGAUACAGAACAGGAAGACCAGUGGAAAGAUAAUACUUACCUGAUUUCCACUAUAGCUAUAGCACAAGUCCUAAAAUUUGUCUAAUGGUUGGAUAUGUGGUACACAGUCUCCUUCUACUAACUUUCCACCCUAUUCUUUAAUCUCUUGGGAAGGGAUUUUUUCUAAUCCAGAGUGGGUUGAUACGGAUAGAGCUGGAAUAAGUACCUGGGAGGACAAUCCUUAUUUUAAAGAGAGAGUACUUUCAGACAUCAUGUUAUCUGCCCAGGUGUGUUGGGAAAAUCCUCAUGGAAUAGGAAAAGAGAUUUUUAGGAUGGCAACCAGGUUGUAAACUAACCAUUAAUGCCACACACUUAAUUUGGCCUAACAAUACUGCAGUGGGGACUAAAGAAGCUGAAAAGAAAGGUUACAUCCCCUGGAAUGUGUCUGCUCCCUGCAGUUCCUUGCAGCGUCCUUAUGUAUGGCAAUGUAUGGAAGGUUCUAUCCGAUGCUCCGCCCCUAAUAAAACUUGGGCUUGGAGUCACGGCUGUUUCACGUCUUGCACAUACAGCUCCUUUGCAAAGCCAAGUUGUUUGUAUGUUAACUAUACCAUUUACAGAGACGGUUCAGUACCUUGCCCCAGAGAUCCUCAUACUACCGCAUCAAUCAACUAGCACAUGCGUUAGAACUUAUUGCCAAUAGCACAGCAGAGGGCAUUGAAUUAGUGCAAGACCAGGCUUCUUGCAACCAUGCUAUGACUUUAGAAAAUCGCUUCGCUUUAGACUAUUUGUUAGCUAGAGAAGGAGGGGUAUGUGCUUUAAUCACAGGAGGACCCUGCUGCACCUAUAUUCCUGACCACUCUGACAACAUAACUGCUGCAGUAAAAACAAUUCGAGACACAGCACGACUUCUUUGCGAAGUUGGUCAGUAAUAGAACGGAUUGCCUCAACUUUAGGAAUGUGGGGAAGGUAUAUCUUAGAAUACAUUUUAUGGGGAUUAGGAAUCUUCUUGGUUAUUAUUGUAAUAAUUGCUGUAAUUACAGCCUGUGUAGUUUGAGUUAAGCAAAAAGUAAUUAAUCUCAAUAUUAUGCAAACCUGGGAAAUGGCCAGCAGGCCAUAGGCCUGUGGCUGUAAGGGGGGAUUGUUAGAAACUAUUGUUGGAAAAUCAGUGUGACCUUUGUAUCACCUUUGGGCAAUGCUAGCUGAUGCAACCUUGCAGUAAGAUUGCCAUGAUCUGUCAAUAUAGGCGGGCAAACAAGGUGAUUGGGCCUAACCAUGCGGGGUGAGCAAAGCCAAGCCAUCUUCUUGAUUUCCUCUGAGUUUUGCACAUGUGUUAUGAAGGAGCUUAUGUAACGAGAGUUUAUAAAGCUACAUGUUGAGUUGCAGUUGGGGUCUCUGUUCCCUUAUGCGGACAGGGGACCUUCGGCCCAAUAAACUGAAAAGACCACACCCUUGUCUGCUGCUUAUUGGAGUCUCAGCUGGGAAACGAGCCCUGUUUGGGUUAAGAGAGUCUGCAGGUGUUCCCUUACCAGCUUGGGAGUCUGGUCAGACAAUUUGUCUCACAAUUAAUUUGUAGCUUUUAGAAAGUGCUAGUUCAGCUUAAUAGAAAUAUGCUGUUAUGAAGAUUCGUAAAGCACCGCCCAAGUAUUGCUUUUGGUUAACCCUUGUAGUGCGCAAGUUUGUUAUUACCCUGAAAUAGAAUAGUUUUCUGAUAGCAUACUGUUAGGUUAACAAUAAUUUGGAUUAUUAAGAAGUAUUAGCUUUACAGCUGAAUACAAGGCAUGACCUGUGGCCUAGCAAUGCAGCUGACCACAAGGCAGAAUGAUAGCUAGGCCUUUGCUUAUGUCAAGUAAUCAUUUUAACUACACCAAGCAUUUUCUGAGUUAAAAAGUGAAUCUGUGUCUGUGUGCUAAAAAAAAUCAGCUACAGCAAAAAGUAAGAUAAAACAGAGAAACCAUUGUUUGAGCUUACUGGUUGUGUCCUUGAAAAAUAUCUUCUACUGUAUAAGGUUUUGCUAACAUAAUGUUACUGUUACUUAACUUUUAGCUUUAAAAAGUGCUAGUUCAGCUUAAUAAAAAUAUGCUGUCACAAAGAUUUAUAGAUCACCGUCCCAAGUAUUGCUUUUUGUUAACCAUAUAGUUUUGCUUUGUUGUAAAAAAAUAUAAAAGAUCGCCUCACCCUUGAGGGGGGGCCUUUUUGCCUUUUGCUGGCUUUAUGGUCUUUGCUCGAGCAAAUAAACAGCUGUCUUUCUUUACCCGCGUUGUCUGUCAAUCAAAUUACAGCUAGACAACCGACCUUAGGGAGAUUUCUCCCACCACACCCUGUAGUCUUGCCUUAUUGUAAAAAGUCUAAAAGAACACCCCACCCUUGAGUGGGGGGCAUUUUGGCUUUUUGCUGGCUUAUGGUCAUUGCUCGAGCAAAUAAACGGCAGUAAAUCUUUACCUGCGUUGCUUGGUUUCUAUUGCAGCUAGACAACAAACUCCUCCUGGGAGUUUUCUCCCACCACAGCAGGAAGGAGGAUGUUGAAGGUUUCUGAGCCAUAAGCUCGAGCCCUCUCUUUGGAAGGGGUGUUAGAAAAUAUUGUUAGAAAAUUAAUGUGACCUCUGUAUGACCUUGGAUCAAUGCUGGCUGAUGCAACCUUGCACUAAGAUUGCUGCUGAUAUGUCAAUCUUGGCGGACAAGCAAGGUGAUUGGGCCCAACCAUGCGGGGUGAGCAAAGUCAUGCCAUUUUAGCAAUUUUCUGCUGGGUUUUGCACAUGUGUUAUGGGAAAGGCUUAUGUAACGAAAGUUCAUAAGUAUGUGUUGAGUUGGAGUCGGGGUCUCUCUGCCCUUACGAGGACAGGGGACCUUCAGCCAAAUAAACUGAAAAGACCACACCCUCGUCUCCUGCUUAUUGGAGUCUCAGCUGGGAUAGGAGCCCCCUUAGGGUUAAGAAAGUCUGCAGGUGUUCCCUUACGAGAUUGGGAGCCUGGCCAGACAAUUUCUCUGAUGGGGAAAGCAGAGCCGUCUGUUACUCAGCUUUGUUUUGUUGUUGCCCAUAGUGGAGGUAUUGCAAAAAUGUAUCAUCUCACUACACCAAAGGCUUCUCAGCUGAAAACUGUAAACUGGAAAUUGUUUCUUCUUCUCUCUCCCCCAUCACUGCGGGGCCAGGAGGCGGGGGGGUCGUGUUAGGGGGAGAGAACAGUCUGAACAACGCUUGCUUCAUGAUAAGGCUGAGUCCUGUGGGAACACAGAUUAGUUACUGCCUGCUUUGCACAUAAACUUUGCAGAAAACUGUAGCAAAUGACAGAUUGCCACAAUGGAAUCUUGUUUAGGAGAGGUAUAAAAAUGUAUUUUCGGGCAUGGCUAGGGGUUAACAUGACUUUGAGGUUUGAGCUCCGUUGUCGAUCUGUUUGCAAACAAACAUAGUUGAAAUGGAUCCAGCCUAAGUGUGUAUAACUCUCUCUUGAGGUAUAUGGAAAAAGCCUCCAGAAACACGAAACUAGCCGUUUGUGCAACAGAGGCACCCCCCUCCCCCUGUCAGCUCAACCACCUUCUUGUCCCUCCAAGGCCCCUGCCUUGUAGUGCCUCUUGGGCCUGCGUGGUGUUGCUGGUCGUUGUGUUUGGGUGUGAGGGGGGUGCAGCCAAGGUGAUGGUUCCUGUGGAGAAGGGGAGUAGAAGCAGAAGUAGUUACGAAGAGCCUGGGUGCUGGGCUGAUGUCGUGGGAGAAAACUCCCUGGUGUUCGUUGUCUAGCUGGCUUAGAGACCAGACAACACGGGUGAAGGGGUAACUGCAGUUUAUCUACUCGAGUAAAGACCAUAAAACAGUAAAGAGGUAAAAUGGCCUCGACUUAAGGGUGAGGCUGUCUUGUAUACAUUUUCUAAGAAAGAAACUACAAGGUUAUUGAAUAUGCAAUACUUAUGGUAAUCAUCUCCUUACAUGGUGCAUUACAAAUCUCAGUACUUUUGCAGAGGAAAAAAGUUAGUGUUAUCUUACACACUGCAAUCUGUUAUCCUGUACUCCGCUGUACCAUCUUCUUGCCUCUGGGCCCCCCCCCCCCCGCCUUAUCUUAUCUGACUCCUAGCUGCAGCUGGUACCCAGUACACAGACUUAACCAUUUUGUUAGAAAAAAGCAGAAAUUAAGGCACCUGACAUAAGAAAAUGACUGGCUUAGAAAUCAUUCUGUCUUGUGGUCAGCAAGAUUGCUAGGCCACAGGUCAUGCCUAGUGUUUAGCUACAAAGGUAAUACUAUUUAAUAAUCUAAAUUACCCUGAAAUAAAAUAGUUUUCUGUAGUAUACUGUUAACAAUAAAGAGAAACCCAUCACUUUGAGUGUGAGGUGGAAGAGGUGCCAGGAGGAUGUGUGUGCUCGGUGGGGUGACAGGGGUGCGAAGCUGCCUGCCUGGGGGUGGUGGGAUCGUGCUGUGCUCCGUUGCUUGUUUGCUUUGUUUGGUGAUGUUUGUGUGUGUCUUUGUGUUGUUUGUGUUCUGCCUGUUUGUUGUGAGGUUGGCAAUGUUUUCUUGCUGGUGGUUUGUUUUGUACAUGGCUGUUUGCUCACCUCCUAUAUGUUGAGCUUUUUGUAUGUAACAUGUAGAGGAACUUCUGGGUCAGCCUGGAAAAAUAAAAUAAAGGAGAAAUGGUUCUGGUA